GGUUUGAUCAUGGCUCAGAUUGAACGCUGGCGGGAUGCUUUACACAUGCAAGUCGAACGGCAGCACGGACUUCGGUCUGGUGGCGAGUGGUGAACGGGUGAGUAAUGUAUCGGAACGUGCCUAGUAGCGGGGGAUAACUACGCAGCAUAGCUAAUACCACAUACGCCCUUCGGGGAAAACGGGGGACCUUCGGGCCUCGCACUAUUAGAGCGGCCGAUAUCGGAUUAGCUAGUUGGUGGGGUAACGGCUCACCAAGGCGAUAUCCGUAGCUGGUUUGAGAGGACGACCAGCCACACUGGGACUGGAACACGGCCAGACUCCUACAGGAGGCAGCAGUGGGGGAAUUUUUGGACAAUGGGAAACCCUGAUCCAGCCAUCCCGCGUGUGCGAUGAGAAGGCCUUCGGGUUGUAAAGCACUUUUGGCAGGAAAGAAACGGCACGGGAUAAUACCCCGUGCAACUGACGGUGCCUGCAGAAUAAGCACCGGCUAACUACGUGCCAGCAGCCGCCAUUAAUAUUACGUAGGGUGCAAGCGUUAAUCGGAAUUACUGGGCGUAAAGCGUGCGCAGGCGGUUCGGAAAGAAAGAUGUGAAAUCCCAGAGCUUGCUGGAACUACAUUUUAACUACCG
rnacentral:misc_RNA from 1 species